CAGGUUUAAAAUGCUGUGGCUGCUGAGAACAAUGUGCCUUAUCCAUGUACUUGGAAAAAUAUUUUGCUUAAUUGGACCAAACAAGAAUCCUGAAUCUAACAUGAAUGUUAGUGAGAUUAUUAAACACUGGGAAUAUCCAAGCGAAGAAUAUGAGGUUGUGACUGAUGAUGGUUACAUUCUUCCAAUUAACCGAAUUCCUCAUGGGAAGAACAAUGCUAAUAGUUCAGCCCCAAAGAUGGUAGUAUUUUGUCUCCCCGGCUUGUUUUCAACUGCUGGUGUAUGGGUUUCCAAUCCUCCUGACAAAUGAUGUGUGGUUGGGAAACAACAGAGGAAGUACCUGGGCAAAAAAACACGUGACCCUCAACCCAGAUUCUAAAGAAUUCUGGGCUUUUAGUUAUGAUGAGAUGAUAAAAUAUGACCUUCCAGCCAUCAUUAAUUUCAUUCUGGAGAAAACAGGACAAAAGCAGAUUUACUAUGCUGGCCAUUCUCAAGGAACCCUAAUCGCUCUGGGGGCAUUUGCAACAAAUCAAGAACUGGCUGAAAAGAUUAAACUCAGCAUUUUAAUAGCUCCAGUUCAUACUGUUAAAUAUGUCAAAGGUUCUGGGCGCCUUCCAGCUUAUUUUACUCCAACAGCUUUCAAGGUCCUUUUUAUACUUACUCAUAAAACGUGUAAAUCUCUAGGAUUUAAAUUUGGUACCCAUUGAUUUAUAAUUACACUACUAUCAUUAAGAUAGAAAAUGUACUCGAUUUAUCUGGGCCAAUGUGUCAUUACUGUAAAACGAGGCAAUAGAACUGAAUAAAUGUUGAUUCUAUCAUAAGUUUUUGUAAUUAAUGAUAUGUUUUCUCUGUAUUUUAGGCAAUUAGAAGUGGUGUAUUUCAGGCUUAUGAUUGGGGAAGUCCAUCUCUGAAUAUGCAGCACACUAUUCCUCCUGUAUACAAUGUGGAAGACAUGAAGGUUCCAACUGCCAUGUUUAGUGGUUUAAAAGAUUUUUUGUCUGACCCAGAAGAUGUUGCAAAUUUGGUACCCAAAAUCUCCAACCUCACAUACCAUAAGAUUAUUUCUGAUUUUAGUCAUCUUGAUUUUAUAACGGGAUUAAAUGCUAGGGAAGAGGUUUCUGAGGAAAUUUUAACAAUUCUUAGGAAAUAUGAUGGUGACAUACAGAUUUAGCUUUUUGCAUGUUUUUAAACGUUUCUGAAAGUCUCUUGCUGUUAUAAGUGCAAAUAUUGUCUUGUUUGGCAUUUUCCUCCUUAAUUAUCUUUUUUUUUUUGAAAGCUAUUGGUUUAUUUGUUGCAGUAGUGAAAUCUAUGACCAUCAAGAGAAUACUUCAUCUUGUGACUGUUUUAAAUUAAUCUAAGUUCAUAUAUUUUUGAAGUGAUUUUUCCUGAAUAAAAGACUUGCUUUUAAUUUACAGUAAUUAAAUCCUAAUAUACUGAUAAAGAAAGAGGCCUGGCCCAUUUGUGAUAUCAGACAUGAUGCUGUCUGAAGAACAGAUCAGAACACAUUUCAUACAUUAGGUCACAACACUGGUGUGGAUCAGCCACUGUUGAAUAAGUCACUUAUGUCAGUAUUCUCUGGCAUGAGGGGAAGAAGAAAUAUUUAAAGUGAUAUAAGAUAUUAAAAAUUAUCCACAGAAUUGAUCAUUCAUUCCCUGUAUAAUAGAGUAUUUUGAACUUUCUUUGCAAUACAAAGUGACCACAAAUUUAAACACACAAUUUUAAUUUUAUUAUUAUAAUUUUAAUAUAAAUUAAAUCUAAUUCUUAUCUUUUUAAUCCUAAAGUAAUAAUUCUGGGCAUAGUUUAAACAAUAUAAAGAGUAACCAUGCCCAGUCUCAAAUGUAUUAUUCUUGCAAUAUUUUCCAUGAUUAUAAAGAUGUGUGUGUGUGUGUGUCUGUGCAUGUGCACAUGUGCGCAUGUAUGUUAAGUUCCUUGUAUUCCACGUUUCUGUCUUUCGUCCAUUUAUGGGAUCGUGUAUUACAUUUAUUGGCUUGGAAUAUGUCAAAUUUUCCCUGUAGUAUUUCUGAAAUAAAGCCAAAUUAUUAA
rnacentral:lncRNA from 1 species